rnacentral:rRNA from 1 species
CCCGCUGAACUUAAGCAUAUCAAUAAGCGGAGGAAAAGAAACUAACAAGGAUUCCCCUAGUAACUGCGAGUGAAGCGGGAAAAGCUCAAAUUUAAAAUCUGGCGGCUCUUUGCCGUCCGAGUUGUAAUUUAGAGAAGCGUCUUCCGUGCCGGACCGUGCACAAGUCUCCUGGAAUGGAGCGUCAUAGAGGGUGAGAAUCCCGUCUUUGGCAUGAAUCCCUGGUGCUUCUGUGAUGCGCUCUCGAAGAGUCGAGUUGUUUGGGAAUGCAGCUCAAAAUGGGUGGUGAACUCCAUCUAAAGCUAAAUAUUGGCGAGAGACCGAUAGCGAACAAGUACCGUGAGGGACAGAUGAAAAGCACUUUGGAAAGAGAGUGAAACAGUACGUGAAAUUGUUGAAAGGGAAACUCUUGAAGUCAGUCGCGUCGACCGAGACUCAGCCUGCCCUUGGCUUGGUGUACUUCUGCGGCCGAGAUCGGGUCAGCAUCAAUUUUGCCCUUCCGAUAAUGGCAAGGGAAAUGGUGGCACCUAUACGGGUGUGUUAUAGUCUCCUGUGGCAUGCGAGGGGUGGGAUUGAUGAACUCAGCACGCGCCUCGGUGUCGGGGCUUCGGCCCACGUUCACGUGCUUAGGAUGUUGGCGUAAUGGCUUUAAACGACACCGUCUGGAACCACGGAGGGCGAAAUCACGGGCCCCCAAACUCCAUUUCCCCCCUAAUGAGAGGGAAUAACAAUUCACCGGCCCCCGUUUUAAACCGGGGGAAACCCGGAAAAACCCCGGGUUUCCCCCCUUUUAAUCCCUUCCCCAAACCUCCCCCUUUGAACAAGGGGGGAAAAACGGAAAAAGGCCCCCCCGCUAACUCCCUCCCCACCUUUUGGGCCCCCCCAAUUUUAGGGGGGUUUUAAUUUUUAACACCCAUUAAAAAAAAAACCCUUCUUUCUCCUUUUUUGUGGGGUUUAAAGGAAGAUUUUUUUAUAUACCCCGCGCGGGCCCCACCA